AUUUGCUACCAUUUUUUUUCGCUAGCAAAUUUUGGUCACAAUUGCCUAAUUUUCUAGUAGUGAGUCAAGCGUGCUCAGGUGGGAGUAGUACUAAGAUGGGUGACCUCCUGGGAAGUCUCCACCAGGGCGACAA
rnacentral:rRNA from 1 species